CUUAAAACCCUUAUCAUUUCUCCUAAUUCUUUUGAUUUCAAUCAGGUUUAUUCCAAUUCUUUAGUUUCGUAUUCCAUUCUUCACCCUCUUGCUUAUGGGUUUUCAAUUAUUUUUGACCUAAAAGUCAUUUGGAUUUGAAUUUUCUUUCUUUUCUUAUUUUCUCUAUUCAUUAAAUGGUUUAUGUUUUGGAUUUUGUAAUUUUACAAAGCUUUGUUUCGAUGUAUCUCAUUUAUGGACAUUGAAAAUUCUUAGAGGGCAGAAAAUUAUAACAAACAUGGAUGGAAGUUGAGCUUGUUAGACGGGUAGAUUCAUAUGUAUUAAUAGUGACACAUAGAAGUGCUACGAUUGUUUUUUGUUUAUGUACAAUGUGAAAUAUGCUUUGUUUCUUCAAUAUGUUACUAACGUUCUUACUGGUAUUGUAUCUUAUCUACCCGGUCUCAAACUUAAUAAGAAAGGUCUCUUCGUUUUGACGUGUUCAAUGGUUUUGUGCCAGAGAUUGUAACUGGUGGGAUUGAAGUUUGGGUGGAUCACGAGUGUGCUCAAGAGAUGUUUAGGAAGAAGUUGUGGGGUGGUAAUUUUCGAGUAGAUUACAAAAGGUGAAUAAUUGUAUGUUUAUUAAUAACUUUGUUUGGUUGUUUAGUGUUUUUGGUAUUGUUUUGUGUGUUUGCGAGUGUGUUUUGAUUUUAAAUUGAUUAAUUUUUAUGAGGAUGGUGAUGGUGAUAGUAGAUUGAAAUGAAAUGAAAAUUUUGAAAUCUUAAAUCUAAACCCAAACACUAUUAUAGACGUUUUUCUUUGCUGGAACAAUUUGUGGGUCAGUGCUAACUGCUUAUGCUUUUGGGAUAAUCUGGUUCUUGAUAUGCUAGGAAAGCCUCUUUGACCUGGUUCUUUGAUUAUUUCUCUAUUGUUUACAAGGAGGAGUUAUAUCCAAUCCAAGUUCUAAGUAGGUAUUUGAGCCCAUCUAACAAGGUGGGAAUGCAGGAAAUAGAGUGUGAAGUGGAAGGAAGCGUGAAGCAAUAGGGAAAUGUAACCAAAUUGACAGUUGAUAUUAUGCAGGAAUCAUGAUUGAAGACGAGGAGAGGGAAGAAAAGGAAUUUAUUGAGUGAGGAAUAGAAGCAAUGACGUAGGAGAGAAUUGAAAGAAGUGUUGCCUUGUGCAGGGAUCAUGAUUGGGGACAGGGAGAGAGAAGAAAAGGAAUAUAUGGAGUGAGGAUAACAUAAUAACGUAGAAUUUUUUUGAAGUGUUGGAUAUGGCAGAGCUGAGAAUUGGGGUCUCAAUCUCUAGACUAUCUUGUUCCUUGUUCCUUGUGUUAAUGAUCAAUAAAGACCGUAAUCUUGUGUACCAUUUUUGGAAUCAGAAAUAACAAAAAAGCAUGCACUAGUGUCAAUCAAAUUGAGCACAAAGAUGGAGGAUGAACUUGAUUAUUGAAUUUACGACAGGCACACGGUACUUCCAUGAAUUGCACGUCCUAUCACUUCAAGUUAAAUGUUUAUGCCUCAACGAGCUCUUUCGGUAGAUAAACUAGAUUCAUAUGCUUCAUCACUUGGUCAGUAUAUAGGCUUGGAGUUACCUCUUUUAAACUUUUAUGGAUUUGUUAUCUGGUAAAUUUCGACCUAAAUAGCAUGAAGUCAGAUCGAUCAAUAUGAGGUCGGAGGUUGGAUUGACGAAGGGGGAAAUCAAGAGAGCUGGAUUGACAAGGGAGGUGAGUCAAUCAAAGUCGAAGGUCAGCUUACCACGACGGGAACUGAUCGUGGGAAGCCGAAAGUGGGAAGUUACCAGCAACAUGGGUGACAGGCUCCGACACGUGGCACAUUAUGAAUGAGUCAUAACCUACUAGCAGAUAUUUCUUAUUACUAUUUAAAUAUAUGUAAUUUUUAUUUCAAGGGUUGACAUUUUUAACAUUACAAUAGGAAUACAUUUG